AUUGAACGCUGGCGGCAGGCCUAACACAUGCAAGUCGAGCGAGCGGCGGACGGGUGAGUAAUGUAUGGGGACUGCCCGACAGAGGGGGAUAACUACUGUAAACGGUGGCUAAUACCGCAUACUAUCGGAUAACCCAUAUGGGAUUGGCUAGUAGGUGGGGUAAAGGCUCACCUAGGCGACGAUCUCUAGCUGGUCUGAGAGGAUGAUCAGCCACACUGGGACUGAGACACGGCCCAGAGUCUGACGGAGGCAGCAGUUGGGAAGAUGGCACAAUGGGCGCAAGCCGGAUGCAGCCAUGCCGCGUGUAUGAAGAAGGCCUUAGGGUUGUAAAUUACUUUCAGCGGGGAGGCGUUACCCGCAGAAGAAGCACCGGCUAACUCCGUGCCAGCAGCCGCGGUAAUUC
rnacentral:rRNA from 1 species